CUACGGGAUGCUGCAGUGGGGAAUAUUGCACAAUGGAGGAAACUCUGAUGCAGCAACGCCGCGUGGAGGAUGACACUUUUCGGAGCGUAAACUCCUUUUAUAUAGGAAGAAGAUGACGGUACUAUAUGAAUAAGCGCCGCUAACUCCGUGCCAGCAGCCGCGGUAAUACGGAGGGCGCAGGCGUUACGCGGAAUCACUGGGCGUAAAGAGCGUGUAGGCGGAUUAAAAAGUCAGAAGUGAAAUCCUAUAGCUUAACUAUAGAACUGCUUCUGAAACUCUUAAUCUAGAAUAUGGGAGAGGUAGAUGGAAUUUCUGGUGUAGGGGUAAAAUCCGUAGAGAUCAGAAGGAAUACCGAUUGCGAAGGCGAUCUACUAGAACAUUAUUGACGCUGAGACGCGAAAGCGUGGGGAGCAAACAGGAUUAGAUACCCGAGUAGUC
rnacentral:rRNA from 1 species